UACGUAGGUGACCAGCGUUGUCCGGAUUUACUGGGCGUAAAGAGCGCGCAGGCGGUCGGAUCAGUCGAAUGUGAAAGCCCCCGGCUCAACUGGGGAGGGUCAUUCGAUACUGUCCGACUCGAAGGCAGGAGAGGGAAGCGGAAUUCCCGGUGUAGUGGUGAAAUGCGUAGAUAUCGGGAGGAACACCAGUGGCGAAGGCGGCUUUCUGGCCUGUUCUUGACGCUGAGGCGCGAAAGCUAGGGGAGCGAACGGG
rnacentral:rRNA from 1 species